GACGAACGCUGGCGGCGUGCUUAACACAUGCAAGUCGAACGGAAAGGCCCUGCUUUUGUGGGGUGCUCGAGUGGCGAACGGGUGAGUAACACGUGAGUAACCUGCCCUUGACUUUGGGAUAACUUCAGGAAACUGGGGCUAAUACCGGAUAGGAGCUCCUGCUGCAUGGUGGGGGUUGGAAAGUUUCGGCGGUUGGGGAUGGACUCGCGGCUUAUCAGCUUGUUGGUGGGUUAGUGGCUUACCAAGGCUUUGACGGGUAGCCGGCCUGAGAGGGUGACCGGCAACAUUGGGACUGAGAUACGGCCCAGACUCCUACGGGAGGCAGCAGUGGGGAAUAUUGCACAAGGGGCGGAAGCCUGAUGCAGAAACGCCGCGGGCGGGAUGACGGCCUUCGGGUUGUAAACCGCUUUAGCCUGUGACGAAGCGUGAGUGACGGUAAUGGGUAAAGAAGCACCGGCUAACUACGUG
rnacentral:rRNA from 1 species